AUGAACGCUGGCGGCGUGCCUCAUCCAUGCAAGUCGCGCGAACAGACGAGGAGCUUGCUCCUCUGACGUUAGCGGCGGACGGGUGAGUAACACGUGGAUAACCUACCUAUAAGACUGGGAUAACUUCGGGAAACCGGAGCUAAUACCGGAUAAUAUAUUGAACCGCCUGGUUCAAUAGUGAAAGACGGUUUUGCUGUCACUUAUAGAUGGAUCCGCGCCGCAUUAGCUAGUUGGUAAGGUAACGGCUUACCAAGGCAACGAUGCGUAGCCGACCUGAGAGGGUGAUCGGCCACACUGGAACUGAGACACGGUCCAGACUCCUACGGGAGGCAGCAGUAGGGAAUCUUCCGCAAUGGGCGAAAGCCUGACGGAGCAACGCCGCGUGAGUGAUGAAGGUCUUCGGAUCGUAAAACUCUGUUAUUAGGGAAGAACAAAUGUGUAAGUAACUAUGCACGUCUUGACGGUAUCUAAUCAGAAAGCCACGGCUAACUACGUG
rnacentral:rRNA from 1 species